UCUACAUUAGUUGUUU
rnacentral:sRNA from 1 species